GUAAAUCCAAACCAUGACAAUCCAGGUUGUAAUUCUGAUGGUUUAAUCCAACUGGAAGAGAAUCUUUGGCCUGUCAAUGACAAAAUGGUUUAUAAAGAAGAAAAAAUAAAUACCAUAUACAAGUUAUCAUUAUAUUUUUCAUCUUUGAUCUCCCGCUCUUCCUUCCGGAUCCUCACAGCAUGGUAUCGGGGAACGCUAUCAUCGUACCUAGAGCGUUUAAAGAAUCCGCACUGACGAAGGGGAAAGAGAAACAGAAACAAACUAAGUAUCUCAAGAAAAGCAAAUGCACAAAAUGGGAAUGUCUAAGCUUUCUGUUCAGCUACGCCUACCUUUGGAUGAAGGGGAAAAAAUAAACAUGGUUUCUUUUAAGAAGGAACUAGUAGGUCCAAAAGACAUACCAGCAGUGGGGAUAAACAGAAGAGAAGACAGCUGUAACAUUGCAAGAAAAGUCCGUUUUUCCAUUGUGUCUCUACUAACAAGAGUUAUGGAAAAAUGCUUCCAUUUUUUAUAAUCACGAUAUUCUAUGUUAAAGAUCUAAUUUUCAGGUUAAAAAGAUUGGUCUUUAAAAAUGAUAUUCUAAUAAAGGCCAUAAACCAAAGAUUAUUCAUACCCCUUUCCCACUAACAAAAUGGAAUCAGAUCACAAAUAUUUUACAAAUUACUAUUUAAAUAUGCCAGUGUUCAAAUGGGCCAAUUUAAGAAUCUUCUCUCCUCCAAGGCUCAGCACAUAUCUCUCAUUAGCUACCAGGCAAUUUACACUGCCUGGAUUUCCUGUUGUGCUUAUAAAUUAAGCUGUUUCAUUAAUAAAUCAUGUAGUAACUGUGUCCUGUAAUAAAAUCAAUUGUGUACCACAAAGAACUUGAGGACAGUAGCACUACAUUGAAUUUCCGAGCACCCCUGAUUUUUUUGGCAAAGGAAAUUUAACACUUAAAUUAUUAAUGAAUAUAUAUUUUAUUCAUUUUUUAAAAAAUAAUCUAAUUGAAAGUAGAUUUUUAUUGAGAACAUAUUAGGAAGUUUUUUACUCAAACUGAAUUUUUAAAAUGAAUAAAAUAUACAUUUAAUGAAACAGAUGUGUUUUCAAUUUAAAAAUGCAGAUAGAGGGAAGAUGAGGAAGACAGUUGGAAGGGUCAAUUUGUAUCACGUAACAGGAAUGGAACAUUUAGAUGUUAUAAAAGUGUCACAGGGCAAAGUAAAAUUAUAUCCAGGCAUCACUAAAUCAAUAGGAAAAACUGACCAAGACAUUUUGUUCUAAGGCCAUUUCUACAUUGGACUCCAUAAUUAUUCUGUGCAAAAAGCCAAAAUACCUAUCAGUUACAAAAUGUGGCUCUUCAUUUAGACAAAGGAGGAAAUCAAGGGUGGUAUGUAAAACUGAAAUGGAAAUGCUGGGGUUCAUCAUGACAAUGCCAUGGAAAGGGAUUAUGGAGUAAUUCUAUCCUCUCAUGCCCAGAGAAAUGGAAAAAGGAAUUAUCACCAAUUCCUGUUUCCAUGGAUCUACACACAAGAGAAGCAAAAUACAUGAACUUAAAAUCAACCAAGAACCAAAGUUGAAUAAAAUCUCUAGGAACAUGAAACAAGAUCAAACUCCAUUACAACAACAUUGAAAUAGUAACUGUCCAGAGCAUUUUUAUAUUAGAAUUUUGCAUAAUGAAAGUCACUUUAGUAUAGAACCAUCUUCUGAAAUUGGCCAUCAUGUCCACCAUGUCAACAACAGUCAUAGUUUGUUGUAAUGGUCUUUGACCUGUAGUAGAUAAGCAGGAAAAGGAAGUUGCAUGCUUAGCUAGCAUAAAACAAUUUCUGAGCAACAAUAAAAGCAUUCCAAGCCUUCCCCCAUCACUUUAUAGCAAGAUCAAAAAAGACAGUGAGAAAGCCUUCUCUUCAGGAGAAACACAAUGUUUCCAACAUGCAACAGGUUAAUUAGGCAGUCAACACAAGCUUCUAUCUGUGGGAAAUUCCAAAAUGGACAAGAAACCGGUCACGAUUUCUUAUUCAUCUUUGAAAUUCCAAGUGGGAUGCUAGGUACUGGAUUGACAACACAUGGCAAACUGGGCUACUGUGGAGGGCUAAUGCCUCCUUUUGUGUGUACAUAGAUUACAAUCUUCUUCAUUGCUGUGGGUGAUGUUUGACAACAACACAGAAUAACUCACCUGCAACAAAAGAUUCUUUGUGCAUUUCUAAAAAAUAAAAAAACCCUGAGCUUUCAAGUGAAAUAGAAUAAAUCCAAGCAAGGCAAGCCAGUGUGGACAUUUGGAAACAUCUGUUAAUGGGACACACACAGCAAGCUGUUGCUCUUAAAGUUAGCCACCACAACCAUAGCACGUCCCACAGCUAGCAAUUAAAAAACAUUGAUCAAUUACCAAUUACAGAAGUAGAUCAAUACUAUGCAUCAGAAGUAAGCCUCUCUUUAUCAGAUGGCUGAGCAUGGAUCUCAGCCUUGUGAUAUGUGGCAUCAUAAUGAUCUUUCUUAUUUCUCUUGAAGAAACCACACUAUAAGGAAGCAAGGUAUUUAGUCAGUUUUACAGUUUUGUAUAUAAGAGCUAAACAAAAGCAAAUCUCAGAUGUUAACCUGUUUUCUAUUUAUAGCUUGUUUAUUUACAAAGAGACCAUGAUGGAUCAGCCAAAAGUGGACAGCCACCGCACUAUGUUACACGGACAGCGACCAAACCAACUCGAUUCUCAUGGGUCUCUGGUCAGAUACUUAGAUGACAUUACUCAGCUGAUUUUUGUAUUUGCAACAGAAAUCCUGAGGACAAAAAUCAUUGUAACGAUUAUGAAUAUGAACUCUAAAACAGGCAAAAGACUGACUUUUGCGUUUUACUUAGACAAAGGUUAAGGAAGUUCUCUAAAAUUUAGCACAAAUCCAAAUAAAAAAAGAUGCUGCAUUUUUCUGCCUUUCACAGUAACUUGUAUGGAACAAAUGCCAUCUACCUGAAGCCUUUGGAUUUGUGGGUAAAUCACAAUAUAAAUUUGAAUUUACCAUCAUGAAAGAAUGAUUGCUGUCAUUUUCCCAAAUUCUGAACCACUAUGAAACCCUUAAGUGGUAGGAACCUAUGUUCUUCAGGUUAAGUCACUCUAAAUGAACACAGAAGUGUAAUUCCACUUUCUACUAUAAUUUCCUUCAUUCAAUGAUGGAGAAAUUCUUUGGUCUACUUGUUCAUAAGGCUAUGAAACUGCCCUUUGAAACAUAGCUUGGUCAAAUAAACCUGCCCUCCUGGAAAACUGUGCUUCCUAGCCUGGCAACUCAUGAAAGUAAAAAUCUAGGUCUGUUUUGUAUAGCAUGCUAACUACUAAGUACAUGAGAGUAUUCAAAUUUAAAUGAAAAAAAAUCCCUCCGUCGCACCAGCCACAUUCCAAGUGCUCGGUAGUCACCUGUGUCUCAUGACUACACAUUGCAUAGUGCAGCUGCAGAACACUUCCAUUAUCACAGGGCGUUUUAUGGGCAGCACGGAUCUAAACUGUCUGUCCUGGUGUUUACUUCUGACUCUCUCCAUUUAAUACAGUGAACACACCCAGCCAACUUUCACACAUGCCAGGCAACAGGGUGGGGAGAAGGAAUGAGCCAGGAACCCAAAGUCCUGGUCCUGCCUGCAGUUUGGCAACAUUCUUAAUAUCCACAGGCAUGAGCAUCCUUGUUGGCACAAUUAAAGCGACUGGACCAGCCUCAAGGACUUUUUGUCUUUACCUUCCAACAAAACCCUAUGUAAUAUCCUGGAAUUUAAAGCAGAUAUCAGAACUACUCUGGUUGAAGUGGGGAUAUUUGCACUAACUCCCCUGCCUCACUUCAUCUUGGCACCUAUGUGGAUGUGCAAAACCCACUUUAAAGGCCACUGAACCAGAGUCCUCUCCGGCCCUCCAGUUCUAGGAUUUUAACACAAAAAAAAAUAGUUCACUUUCAGAAAGAAGAGUAUCCGUAAAGUAAUAAAAAUGAUCUUCAUGGAGGGGACAUAGAGGUUGUCUGAGUUGCACUUUUGAGUUCUGGAUACUUUAGAGCUACAAACAACCCAUGAGAUCACACAGUCCAAUGUACGUACUAAAGAGCUAAAACAAACCAGUGCCCUGGGGAGAUGAAAUGAUUUGCCUAAAAUUAUAUAGCUUGGGUUUCUUAACUCUCAACCCACUGCUAUGUCUCACCCUCAUUAAAGACUGCCAAUAAGACCUGCUCUGAAAAAGACUGUCUUUGUGACCUCCUCCCAAGAGUACACGAAGGCCAUCCUCAGAUAUCAAACCUCAAAUUCAGUUUUUGAUACCAAAAUAGCUUCCAGAGCAUCUCCUGUGGCUGGCUGUGCUGACCAGAGAAACCUACUGCCUAAAGUGAACAUCAGAGGUAGGAUUGGCUAAUGUCCAAUUCAAGGAGGAGUCUUGGCAUGAACAAUUACGAAGCUUCAAUCACACACUUAGAGGACACCAGAAAGUUAUCUCACACUAGGAAAAGGAAGUUACUUGGAAAAAUAAAACAAAAAAGAAA